rnacentral:rRNA from 1 species
UUAGUGGCGGACGGGUGAGUAACGCGUGGGUAACCUGCCUCGCACUGGGGGAUAACAGUUAGAAAUAGCUGCUAAUACCGCAUAAGCGCACGGUUCCGCAUGGAACAGCGUGAAAAACUCCGGUGGUGUGAGAUGGACCCGCGUCUGAUUAGCUAGUUGGUGGGGUAACGGCCUACCAAGGCGACGAUCAGUAGCCGGCCUGAGAGGGUGAACGGCCACAUUGGGACUGAGACACGGCCCAAACUCCUACGGGAGGCAGCAUG